rnacentral:rRNA from 1 species
GUUAAAAAGCUCGUAGUUGGAGUUCAGGGUGAGCUCAGCUGGUCGGCCUAAUGGGUCAGAACUGGUUGACUCUCCCUUGGUUGUGGAUCCCUCCGGAGUUAACUCUUCGGGUGUGGAGUCCACAUCGUUUACCUUGAAAAAAUUAAAGUGUUCAAAGCAGGCGUUUGCUUGAAUAUAUUAGCAUGGAAUAAUGGAAUAGGACGCUGGUUCUAUUUUGUUGGUUUUGAGAACCAGAGUAAUGAUUAAUAGGGACAGUUGGGGGCAUUCAUAUUUCAUUGUCAGAGGUGAAACUCUUGGAUUUAUGAAAGAUGAACUUCUGCGAAAGCAUUUGCCAAGGAUGUUUUCAUUAAUCAAGAACGAAAGUUAGGGGAUCGAAGACGAUCAGAUACCGUCGUAGUCUUAACCAUAAACUAUGCCGACUAGGGAUUGGGCGUGGUUUGUUCAUUGACCCGCUCAGCACCUUACGAGAAAUCAAAGUCUUUGGGUUCCGGGGGGAGUAUGGUCGCAAGGCUGAAACUUAAAGGAAUUGACGGAGGGGCACCACCAGGAGUGGAGCCUGCGGCUUAAUUUGACUCAACACGGGAAAUCUCACCAGGCCCGGACACUGGAAGGAUUGACAGAUUGAUAGCUCUUUCUUGAUUCGGUGGGU